GACGUAGGAUGCGAGCGUUGUCCGGAUUUAUUGGGCGUAAAGAGUUCGUAGGCGGUUCGUUAAGUCUGAUGUUAAAGACUGGGGCCCAACCCUGGGAGUGCAUUGGAUACUGGCGGACUGGAGUGCAGUAGAGGCAAGCGGAAUUCCAGGUGUAGCGGUGAAAUGCGCAGAUAUCAGGAAGAACACCCGUGGCGAAGGCGGCUUUCUGGGACGGUACUGACGCUGAGGCGCGAAAGCUAGGGGAGCAAACGGG
rnacentral:rRNA from 1 species